CGUGGGUAACCUGCCUCAUAGACUGGGACAACUAUUGGAAACGAUAGCUAAUACCGGAUAACAGUAUUUCUCGCAUGAGAGAUAUUUAAAAGUUGGUUAUGCUAACACUAUGAGAUGGCUUUGCGGUGCAUUAGCUAGUUGGUGGGGUAAAGGCCCACCAAGGCGACGAUGCAUAGCCGACCUGAGAGGGUGAUCGGCCACACUGGGACUGAGACACGGCCCAG
rnacentral:rRNA from 1 species